CCGUAACGCCAUCUUGCUUUUACCCCUGCCCCUCAGCAGGCUACGCGGAGCUUCGCAUCUGAGCCACUAUCGGAGCAUACUCCAUCCACCUUCGCAUAGCCUUUGGCUUCGUAGGCACUACUGACAUUGGAGCCUCCACCGACAGCCACAUCUUGGGUACAAACUUCACCCACCGAUGAGGCUCCAUCGGCAUCUAUGUCGCACGAUCCCAGUGUAUCAUCAAGUAGAAUAUUUUACGGUCCCAUAUGCAUACCGCAUGUGUGGAACCGCCAGCAUUAGAUCAUGAUGGAGUACGAUUAGAAGAGGAAGUCAGUAGGAGAGACCACGUAGGAGAUGCAUUCCUUUUUCAGAAUAUUUAUGAGGUGGUCCGACAUCAUUCGCGUACUGCCCGUAGACUGACGAUUGAUAGACACUGGUGUCAAGGAUCGGAGGAGACAUGACUUCUCAGAUCAAGAGAGUGCUCGAGAUGUCCGACUGUAAA